rnacentral:rRNA from 1 species
CCUACGGGAGACAGCAGUAGGGAAUAUUGCUCAAUGGGGGAAACCCUGAAGCAGCAACGCCGCGUGGAGGAUGAAGGUUUUCGGAUUGUAAACUCCUUUUGUUAGAGAAGAUAAUGACGGUAUCUAACGAAUAAGCACCGGCUAACUCCGUGCCAGCAGCCGCGGUUAUACGGAGGGUGCAAGCGUUACUCGGAAUCACUGGGCGUAAAGAGCGCGUAGGCGGGAUAGCAAGUCAGAUGUGAAAUCCUAUGGCUUAACCAUAGAACUGCAUUUGAAACUGUUAUUCUAGAGUAUGGGAGAGGUAGGUGGAAUUCUUGGUGUAGGGGUAAAAUCCGUAGAGAUCAAGAGGAAUACUCAUUGCGAAGGCGACCUGCUAGAACAUAACUGACGCUGAUGCGCGAAAGCAUGGGGAGCAAACAGGAUUAGAUACCCCUGUAGUC